CCCUACGGGGGGCAGCAGUGAGGAAUAUUGGUCAAUGGUCGGGAGACUGAACCAGCCAAGCCGCGUGAGGGAUGAAGGUACAGAGUAUCGUAAACCUCUUUUGUCAGGGAACAAAGGCGGGGACGUGUCCCCGGAUGAGUGUACCUGAAGAAAAAGCAUCGGCUAACUCCGUGCCAGCAGCCGCGGUAAUACGUAGGUGGCAAGCGUUAUCCGGAUUUAUUGGGCGUAAAGCGAGCGCAGGCGGUUGCUUAGG
rnacentral:rRNA from 1 species